AACGAACGCUGGCGGCAUGCCUAACACAUGCAAGUCGAACGAGACCUCCGGGUCUAGUGGCGCACGGGUGCGUAACGCGUGGGAACCUGCCCUUAGGUUCGGAAUAACUCCCCGAAAGGGGUGCUAAUACCGGAUAAUGUCUUCGGACCAAAGAUCUAUCGCUUUUGGAUGGGCCCGCGUUGGAUUAGCCAGUUGGUAGGGUAAAAGCCUACCAAGGCGACGAUCCAUAGCUGGUCUGAGAGGAUGAUCAGCCACACUGGGACUGAGACACGGCCCAGACUCCUACGGGAGGCAGCAGUAGGGAAUAUUGGACAAUGGGCGAAAGCCUGAUCCAGCAAUGCCGCGUGAGUGAUGAAGGCCUUAGGGUUGUAAAGCUCUUUUACCCGGGAUGAUAAUGACAGUACCGGGAGAAUAAGCUCCGGCUAACUCCGUG
rnacentral:rRNA from 1 species